ACAACGUUUCAUAAUGGCAACUCACUAAUAAGCACCGACGACAUUUGAUCUGCUGCAAAAAGACUUUUUAUAAUAUAACUCAGGAUGAAUGGAUCCGGUUGGAAACGAAUUGGACUUUUGAUGUUGUUUACUGACAGUCUAAUAAACAGCGCUCCCGACGAUUGGAAACUUGUGUUCAAAAUAGACGCUAACGGAGGCAAUACCAAUAUAUAUGAUAUUUAUAUGGACAGAGGGAUAACAUACAAUAUUAAUGACAAAGAGGCACUAAAUCUCACUCACCGAACUGGCAAGCAUUUCAAAUCUGAUAUUAUAAAUCAUUGGUCGUAUGUUGAUAUUGA